GAUGGACCAAGCGGAGCUGCUAACUCUGAAAACUGGGCCUGACCGCCCGGACCCAUCCA
rnacentral:tRNA from 1 species